GCGGGGCAGGGGAGGCGAAGGGAGACAAUCUGUAGCCAGUAAAACGUGAACACAAAGGAGUCGGGGGAUCGACCCCCUCGGUGUCGUAGCCAACGCGUUAAGUGUUCCGCCUGGGGAGUACGCACGCAAGUGUGAAACUCAAAGGAAUUGACGGGGGCCCGCACAAGCGGUGGAGUAUGUGGUUUAAUUCGAUGCAACGCGAAGAACCUUACCAGGGUUUGACAUCCUGCGAAUCCCUUGGAAACGAGGGAGUGCCUUCGGGAGCGCAGAGACAGGUGGUGCAUGGCUGUCGUCAGCUCGUGUCGUGAGAUGUUGGGUUAAGUCCCGCAACGAGCGCAACCCACGUCGUUAGUUGCCAGCAUUCAGUUGGGCACUCUAGCGAGACCGCCGGUGAUAAACCGGAGGAAGGUGUGGAUGACGUCAAGUCAUCAUGCCCCUUACAUCCUGGGCUACACACGUACUACAAUGCUACGGACAAAGGGCAGCGAGUUCGCGAGAUUAAUGCAAAUCCCCAUAAAACCGUGGGCUCAGUUCAGAAUCGUAGGGCUGCAACUUCGCCUACCUUGAAGGGAGGGAAUCCCCUAGUAUUCCGCAGGGUC
rnacentral:rRNA from 1 species